rnacentral:rRNA from 1 species
AAGAGACAGCAGUAGCCGCGGGAAUACAGAGGGUGCGAGCGUUAAUCGGAUUUACUGGGCGUAAAGCGUGCGUAGGCGGCUUCUUAAGUCGGAUGUGAAAUCCCUGAGCUUAACUUAGGAAUUGCAUUCGAUACUGGGAAGCUAGAGUAUGGGAGAGGAUGGUAGAAUUCCAGGUGUAGCGGUGAAAUGCGUAGAGAUCUGGAGGAAUACCGAUGGCGAAGGCAGCCAUCUGGCCUAAUACUGACGCUGAGGUACGAAAGCAUGGGGAGCAAACAGGAUUAGAUACCCCUGUAGUCCCUGUCUCUUAUAC